AGCAUUUACGAAGUCAACUACAAUCAAAGGCCAAGGGACUUACGUCACGAGCCGAGAGCAGCUGGACAUCAAGGAUCAGCUGAACGAACGAGCCCAUUGAGCGGAACUCAGCCACGGCCCAACACCUAACGCAGCGUUAUCAGCGACACCGGAGCACCGACCUACCACACUACACACAGCUGACGGCAUGGAGCGAAGCGCAGCGUUAUUGGGACUUCUCACAUGUAUCUACCUGGCGACAACAGCUCAAGGAAGCGACACGCCGUAGUGGAAAGUGGAAAAAUUCACCCAUCAUCCGGGGAUAUACUAUGAAAAAAUAGGAAGACUUCGACAAAUAGAAUCGCAAUGGAAAUUAAUAAUUAAAAUAAACACUGCGUCUUUAUCAAGAAGACUGACGCAAAUUGAAAAAUAUGUAAAAAAAAACAGACAAUUUAUGUAGAAUCGUAGCGGUAAUGAAUAAAGCCAUAUGCGACAACUUCAACGCCACCAUAA